rnacentral:rRNA from 1 species
CACGUAGGGCGCGAGCGUUGUCCGGAAUUAUUGGGCGUAAAGAGCUCGUAGGCGGCCUGUUGCGUCCGCUGUGAAAGCCCGGGGCUUAACCCCGGGUCGGCAGUGGAUACGGGCAGGCUAGAGGUAGGUAGGGGAGAAUGGAAUUCCCGGUGUAGCGGUGAAAUGCGCAGAUAUCGGGAGGAACACCGGUGGCGAAAGCGCUCUACUGGACCGUAACUGACACUCAGGGACGAAAGCUAGGGGAGCGAAUGGG